AACGAACGCUGGCGGCGUGGAUAAGACAUGCAAGUGGAACGCUGGUCGUCGGGUAGCAAUAUUUGACGGCUGGAGUCGCGUAAGGGUGCGUAACACGUGGGUAAUCUGCCGAGAAGACCGGAAUAACUUGCUGAAAGGUGAGCUAAUGCCGGAUGUGGUUGCGGGGAGGCAUCUCCCUGCAAGCAAAGUUGGGGACCGCAAGGCCUGACGCUUCUCGAUGAGCCCGCGGCCUAUCAGCUAGUUGGUGAGGUUACGGCUCACCAAGGCUAAGACGGGUAGCUGGUCUGAGAGGACGACCAGCCACACUGGAACUGAGACACGGUCCAGACACCUACGGGUGGCAG
rnacentral:rRNA from 1 species